rnacentral:rRNA from 1 species
AGUGAACGCUGGCGGUAGGCCUAACACAUGCAAGUCGAACGGCAGCACAGUAAGAGCUUGCUCUUACGGGUGGCGAGUGGCGGACGGGUGAGGAAUACAUCGGAAUCUACUUUUUCGUGGGGGAUAACGUAGGGAAACUUACGCUAAUACCGCAUACGACCUACGGGUGAAAGCAGGGGAUCUUCGGACCUUGCGCGAUUGAAUGAGCCGAUGUCGGAUUAGCUAGUUGGCGGGGUAAAGGCCCACCAAGGCGACGAUCCGUAUCUGGGCCGAGAGGAUGAUCAGCCACACUGGAACUGAGAGACGGUCCAGACUCCUACGGGAGGCAGCAGUGGGGAAUAUUGGACGAUGGGCGCAAGCCUGCUCCAGCCAUACCGCGUGGGUGAAGAAGGCCUUCGGGUUGUAAAGCCCUUUUGUUGGGAAAGAAAAGCAGCAGGUUAAUACCCCGCUGUUCUGACGGUACCCAAAGAAUAAGCACCGGCUAACUUCGUG